rnacentral:misc_RNA from 1 species
GAUGAAGAACGCAGCGAAAUGCGAUAAGUAAUGUGAAUUGCAGAAUUCAGUGAAUCAUCGAGUCUUUGAACGCGCAUUGCGCCCCCUGGUAUUCCGGGGGGCAUGCCUGUCCGAGCGUCAUUGCUGCCCUCAAGCACGGCUUGUGCGUUGGGCCCCCGUCCCCGGUUUCCCCCGGGGACGGGCCCGAAAGGCAGCGGCGGCACCGCGUCCGGUCCUCGAGCGUAUGGGGCUUUGUCACCAGCUCUGUAGGCCCGGCCGGCGCCAGCCGACACCCAACUUUAUUUCUAAGGUUGACCUCGGAUCAGGUAGGGAUACCCGCUGAACUUAAGCAUAUCAAUAAGCGGAGGA